GAGUAUAGAGGAAAAAGAGGGAGAAUGGAAGUGAGAAUGAGAGUGGAGAUAGGAUUGAGAGGGCAGAUGAGAGGGAGGAGUAACAAAAGUGAAAACAAAAACUAAAAACUGAAAUAUAUUUGAAAUUGUUUUCAUUUUCAAGUUUUUGUUUUCACUUUUUUGUUACUUCUCCCUCCCAUCCUCCAGUCUCAUCCUCACUCCCAUUCUCACUCAUUUUCCUCUAUACUCU
rnacentral:snoRNA from 1 species